rnacentral:rRNA from 1 species
AAUAGAUACCCUGGUAGUCCACGCCGUAAACGAUGAGUGCUAAGUGUUAGAGGGUUUCCGCCCUUUAGUGCCGCAGCUAACGCAUUAAGCACUCCGCCUGGGGAGUACGGUCGCAAGACUGAAACUCAAAGGAAUUGACGGGGGCCCGCACAAGCGGUGGAGCAUGUGGUUUAAUUCGAAGCAACGCGAAGAACCUUACCAGGUCUUGACAUCCCACUGACCGGUAUAGAGAUAUACCUUUCCCUUCGGGGACAGUGGUGACAGGUGGUGCAUGGUUGUCGUCAGCUCGUGUCGUGAGAUGUUGGGUUAAGUCCCGCAACGAGCGCAACCCUUGAUCUUAGUUGCCAGCAUUUAGUUGGGCACUCUAAGGUGACUGCCGGUGACAAACCGGAGGAAGGUGGGGAUGACGUCAAAUUAUCAUGCCCCUUAUGACCUGGGCUACACACGUGCUACAAUGGAUGGUACAAAGGGCUGCAAGACUGCGAAGUCAAGCCAAUCCCAUAAAACCAUUCUCAGUUCGGAUUGCAGG